rnacentral:rRNA from 1 species
UCGAGGAUCUUCGGCAAUGGGCGCAAGCCUGACCGAGCGACGCCGCGUGUGCGAUGAAGGCCUUCGGGUUGUAAAGCACUGUCGGGGGGGAGAAAAGGGGCAACCCAUGAUCGACCCCCGGAGGAAGCACGGGCUAAGUUCGUGCCAGCAGCCGCGGUAAGACGAACCGUGCGAACGUUGUUCGGAAUCACUGGGCUUAAAGGGCGCGUAGGCGGGCGGUCAAGUCAGGGGUGAAAUCCCACGGCUCAACCGUGGAAGUGCCUUUGAUACUGGCCGUCUCGAGGGAGGUAGGGGCGUGCGGAACUUCCGGUGGAGCGGUGAAAUGCGUAGAUAUCGGAAGGAACACCGGUGGCGAAAGCGGCGCGCUGGACCUUUACUGACGCUGAGGCGCGAAAGCCAGGGGAGCAAACGG